AAUAGAUACCUCGGUAGUCCACGCCGUAAACGAUGAGUGCUAAGUGUUAGAGGGUUUCCGCCCUUUAGUGCUGCAGUCUAACGCAUUAAGCACUCCGGCCUGGGGAGUACGGUCGACAAGUAACUGAAACUCAAAGGAAUUGACGGGGGCCCGCACAAGCGGUGGAGCAUGUGGUUUAAUUCGAAGCAACGCGAAGAACCUUACCAGGUCUUGGCAUCCCACUGACCGGUAUAGAGAUAUACCUUUCCCUUCGGGGACAGUGGUGACAGGUGGUGCAUGGUUGUCGUCAGCUCGUGUCGUGAGAUGUUGGGUUAAGUCCCGCAACGAGCGCAACCCUUGAUCUUAGUUGCCAGCAUUUAGUUGGGCACUCUAAGGUGACUGCCGGUGACAAACCGGAGGAAGGUGGGGAUGACGUCAAAUCAUCAUGCCCCUUAUGACCUGGGCUACACACGUGCUACAAUGGAUGGUACAAAGGGGCUGCAAGACUGCGAAGUCAAGCCAAUCCCAUAAAACCAUUCUCAGUUCGGAUUGCAGG
rnacentral:rRNA from 1 species